rnacentral:sRNA from 1 species
GCCAGGCAUGGUGGCGCACACCUGUAAUCCCAGCAACUUGGGAGGCUGAGGCAAAAGAAUUGCACGUUUGAGGCCAGUUUCAGCAGCCUAGCAAGCAACUUAGUAAGAUCCUGUCUCAA